rnacentral:tRNA from 1 species
AAGAAAUAUAUUUUAAGCUUCUAACUUUUCUUAGAGCAUUAAAUUGUUCAUAUUUCA